GACGCCAUCCUUGUCUCUCUCAUGAACCAGCUUGAGAAGGACAAGAAAUCGUUAAAAUUAGGACCAGAUGACAAUCUUUAUGUGGAGGGUUUUGCAUCGAAUCUUUUUGCAAAGGCAGAUAAGCAAGAUCGGGCUGGGAGAGCUGACUUGUACUUUAUGCAGUUAUUUGUUGUACAUUCUGUCUUACUAGUGCAGCCAAAUUAAUUCUGUGGAUCUUACAGGAAUACUGCAAGAACAUUUUAUGCAGCCAGCAUUUUCUUUGAGAUUUUGAAUCAAUUUGGUAAACUUCAUCCUGAAAUUGAGCAGAAGCAGAAGUAUGCAGUUUGGAAAGCUGUAGAUAUAAGGAAAGCUUUGAAGGAAGGAAGAAAGC